rnacentral:rRNA from 1 species
AGAGUUUGAUCCUGGCUCAGAUUGAACGCUGGCGGCAGGCCUAACACAUGCAAGUCGAACGGUAGCACAGAGGAGCUUGCUCCUUGGGUGACGAGUGGCGGACGGGUGAGUAAUGUCUGGGAAACUGCCCGAUGGAGGGGGAUAACUACUGGAAACGGUAGCUAAUACCGCAUAACGUCGCAAGACCAAAGAGGGGGACCUUCGGGCCUCUUGCCAUNGGAUGUGCCCAGAUGGGAUUAGCUAGUAGGUGGGGUAACGGCUCACCUAGGCGACGAUCCCUAGCUGGUCUGAGAGGAUGACCAGCCACACUGGAACUGAGACACGGUCCAGACUCCUACGGGAGGCAGCAGUGGGGAAUAUUGCACAAUGGGCGCAAGCCUGAUGCAGCCAUGCCGCGUGUAUGAAGAAGGCCUUCGGGUUGUAAAGUACUUUCAGCGAGGAGGAAGGUGUUGUGGUUAAUAACCGCAGCAAUUGACGUUACUCGCAGAAGAAGCACCGGCUAAC